rnacentral:rRNA from 1 species
UACAGAGGUCCCAAGCGUUGUUCGGAUUCACUGGGCGUAAAGGGUGCGUAGGUGGUGGGGUAAGUCGGAUGUGAAAGCUCGGAGCUCAACUCCGAAAUGGCAUUGGAAACUACCCUGCUAGAGGAUUGGAGGGGGGACUGGAAUACUUGGUGUAGCAGUGAAAUGCGUAGAUAUCAAGUGGAACACCAGUGGCGAAGGCGAGUCCCUGGACAAUACCUGACACUGAGGCACGAAAGCUGGGGGAGCAAACGGG